rnacentral:rRNA from 1 species
GAUACGCGAAAACCUUACCGGGCUUGACAUGCAUCAGACAGGCGUAGAGAUACGCCUCGCGAGGCUGGUGCACAGGUGCUGCAUGGUUGUCGUCAGCUCGUGUCGUGAGAUGUUGGGUUAAGUCCCGCAACGAGCGCAACCCUACCGUGUGUUACCAUCAUUAAGUUGGGGACUCGGCACGGAACUGCCGGUGAUAACCGGAGGAAGUGGGAUGACGUCAAAUCAUCAUGCCCCUUAUGACCUGGGCUACACACGUGCUACAAUGGUUGGUACAACGAGUUGCGAGUCGGUGACGGCGAGCUAAUCUCUUAAAGCCAAUCUCAGUUCGGAUUGUAGGCUGCAACUCGCCUACAUGAAGUCGGAAUCGCUAGUAAUCGCGGAUCAGCACGCCGCGGUGAAUACGUUCCCGGGCCUU